UCCGACGUAGCUCAAAUGAUAGAGCAGCUGUCCUGUAAACAGCAUUAUGGAAGUUUGACUCUUCCCGUCGGAU
rnacentral:tRNA from 1 species